rnacentral:rRNA from 1 species
UGAGCAAUCUGCCCCUGACUCUGGGAUAACCUCGGGAAACCGAAGCUAAUACCGGAUACGAAGCGCGAAGGCAUCUUCAGCGCUUGGAAAAGAAUUUCGGUCAGGGAUGAGCUCGCGGCCUAUCAGUUAGUUGGUGAGGUAAUGGCUCACCAAGACGACGACGGGUAGCCGGCCUGAGAGGGUGACCGGCCACACGUGGGACUGAGACGCGGCCCAGACUCCGUACGGGAGNAGCG